rnacentral:piRNA from 1 species
UGGUCUGAAAAAAAGUAACAAAACAAC